UGGGGAAUAUUGCACAAUGGAGGGAACUCUGAUGCAGCGACGCCGCGUGAACGAAGAAGGCUUUCGAGUCGUAAAGUUCUUUUAUAUGGGAAGAUAAUGACGGUACCAUAAGAAAAAGCCCCGGCUAACUACGUGCCAGCAGCCGCGGUAAUACGUAGGGGGCUAGCGUUGUCCGGAAUCACUGGGCGUAAAGGGUUCGCAGGCGGAAAUGCAAGUCAGGUGUAAAAGGCAGUAGCUUAACUACUGUAAGCAUUAGAAACUGCAUAUCUUGAGAAGAGUAGAGGUAAGUGGAAUUUUUAGUGUAGCGGUGAAAUGCGUAGAUAUUAAAAAGAAUACCGGUGGCGAAGGCGACUUACUGGGCUCAUUCUGACGCUGAGGAACGAAAGCGUGGGUAGCAAACAGG
rnacentral:rRNA from 1 species